rnacentral:lncRNA from 1 species
CAGGCUGCCUCAAAUAUGGUAACCUUCUUGUCACCUGGAGUGUUUAAGCAGAGAAGACGUCAUGAAUCAGGGCUAUCAAAGACAGUAUUUGUGUAUCACAGAAGCUUGGAGCAAAGACAUUGGAAGAAGUGCUUCCAACUCAAAUAUUAUGUAACCCCACUUUCCUGAAGAAUUAAUAAACUUAAUGGAAUGGUAAUUCUACCCGUAAAGAGGUAAUUAUACCUAAUAACUGAUUAUAUUGAGACAACUGCAUUAAAGCACUCAAUUUAAAAAAAUAUGCAAAGACUACAGGGAACUGACUGAAGAUGUAAAGCUGCAGGCAAUGGUGAGAAAUGACCAGAGAUGUGGGGAGAAAAUUGGUCACAGGAGAAGGCAUUUAGCUGAGACAGUGGGGAGAUCCAUGGAGUAUGGAGAAUUCAGCCAAGAUUUUGCUGAGGAGGAGAGAUUAAAGUGGGACUUGACAGAUCCCUGUGAUGAGCUUGGAAAACAGAAGCAGAUAAUGUUUCCUCCAUUGCUGGACAAAAUGAGAGCAUUUCGCAGGUUUGGCUGAUGAUUUCAUUGUAAACAGGAUGUUUACAGAUACUGAUGACCAUCCCUAGAAUUCAUAUUGAGAAUUUCCGUGCCACAUUAACUUCCAGAUGUCCUUGGGAAAAGUGUCUACUAUGCUGCCUUGGUUUCCUCAAUGAGAGUGAGAACAAAUGGAUCUGAAGAGGUGAUCUUGGCCCUAAUUUCCAAGUUCUGGGAAGAUAAACAGGGUUUUCUUUUGAAUCCUUCGGAGCCUGGGAGCUUCAAGAGAAACUCAACUCCAGGCACUUGAACUGACAGAGAAUUUAGAUUCUCCUCCAGGGAAAGGGGCAGAGCAUGGAUCCUGGCUUUGAGCCGCCUCCCAGCUUUUCUGUUGUCCUUGAGGCUGCUACGUUAACACUGUCCUUGCUUUGUGUGGUUUUGCUGUUACUACCUGUCCUGUGGAUUUCUGACAAUUACAAGCCGUGUACCCCACCACACAUGCAAGCAUUUCUCAUUUAUUCUGAGUACUUUAAGGACUGCCCAAUCUGAAUGCAGAGAACUAUGUCUCAUUCAUUUUUGUGUGUCCAGGCCCUCACAGGGUUUGGGGAUCCUGAUAUAGGGUUGGAUUCGGUGACCUCUCAAAUCCUCUUCAGCACUUUCAUGCACAGAAGCCAGCAUCCUCUGGACUGUCAUUAUCCAGUUUUAUUAAAGCAGGUUACAAUAUAAAAGAACCCAUCAUCAGCCAUCAUCACUGAUCUUGGAUAGCUUGCCCUUGGCUGGUGGCCUAAGGAUUCCUUUCUUUUUUUACCUAUCAAAAUCAUUCUUGUACAUAAGCUGUCCCCCUCCCUGCAAAGUAUUCCUUGACUAUCAUAGACAAAAUAUGUCACUCCCUUCCCUCUUCCCAUGAUCUUUGCUUUACAUUCAAAUGUCACCAUUUUAUGGAUCCAUUUGUUUUCUUUAUCGGAUUGUAAAUUCCUUGAGGGUGGAGACUGGAUCUAAUUCAACAUGGUAUCCCAUGGUUCCUUGCCAUGGGAUAUAGUGAAAAUGCAGCAAGUGUGGGACUUGGUGAACAGCGGAUAGUUCACUUGCUGCAGAGGAUGGGUUUUUCUUUCUCUACCCAUGCCCUUUGACUUUGAGUUUGGCCAUUGGACUUGCUUUGGCCAAUGGGAUGCUCACAGACACCAUGCAAGUAGAGGCUUAGAACAUGUGUAUGAACUUGACUUGCCCUCUGUGCUGUUAGGUCUCCUGACCUAAGGAGGAGGAUGAGAAACACAUGGACCAGACCUGCCCCAGCCAAUCCGCAAGCCUGUGAGUGACAAAUAAAUGCAUAUUAUUGGAUGUCACUGAUAUUUGGAGGUUGUUUGUUUGUUAAUGCAGCAACUGUUGCUUAAUACAAUUGUUAACUUAAAAUGUAGGCUGAAAAACAUAGGAGGCCUUGUGAUGUUCAUUGUCUUUAUGGGUUGAGGUGGA